GUUGAACGCUGGCGGCGUGCCUAAUACAUGCAAGUCGAGCGAACGGACGAGAAGCUUGCUUCUCUGAUGUUAGCGGCGGACGGGUGAGUAACACGUGGAUAACCUACCUAUAAGACUGGGAUAACUUCGGGAAACCGGAGCUAAUACCGGAUAAUAUUUUGAACCGCAUGGUUCAAAAGUGAAAGACGGUCUUGCUGUCACUUAUAGAUGGAUCCGCGCUGCAUUAGCUAGUUGGUAAGGUAACGGCUUACCAAGGCAACGAUGCAUAGCCGACCUGAGAGGGUGAUCGGCCACACUGGAACUGAGACACGGUCCAGACUCCUACGGAAGGCAGCAGUAGGGAAUCUUCCGCAAUGGGCGAAAGCCUGACGGAGCAACGCCGCGUGAGUGAUGAAGGUCUUCGGAUCGUAAAACUCUGUUAUUAGGGAAGAACAUAUGUGUAAGUAACUGUGCACAUCUUGACGGUACCUAAUCAGAAAGCCACGGCUAACUACGUG
rnacentral:rRNA from 1 species